GCGCCCGUAGCUCAGCUGGAUAGAGCGCCGGGCUUCGAACCCGUAGGUCGGGGGUUCAAGUCCCUCCGGGCGCACCA
rnacentral:tRNA from 2 species